rnacentral:rRNA from 1 species
UGAAGGUUGAGGCAUGAUGGGGAGCCCAUGGUUGUGGGUGAGUGAGUGAUCCUGUACUGUCGAGAAAAGCUUCGUGAGCGAGGUGGCGGGUCCGCCCGUACCCUAAACCGACACUGGUGGAUAGGUAGAGUAUACCGAGGCGAUCGAGUGAAUCGUGGUGAAGGAACUCGGCAAAAUGCCCCCGUAACUUUGGGAUAAGGGGGACCUGAGCUGUCGUGCACCCGUGCGGUGUGGUGGCGGUGAGGGGCGCAGAGUCCAGGGGGAAACGACUGUUUACCAAAAACACAGGUCCGUGCGAAGUCGUAAGACGAUGUAUACGGACUGACUCCUGCCCGGUGCUGGAAGGUUAAGGGGAACUGUGAGUGUAUGCGUAGCGGUGAACUUAAGCCCCAGUAAACGGCGGUGGUAACUAUAACCAUCCUAAGGUAGCGAAAUUCCUUGUCGGGUAAG